CAGUCGCCACGGUAACACGUAGGGUGCAAGCGUUAAUCGGAAUCACUGGGCGUAAAGGGAGCGUAGGCGGCGUGGUAAGUCAGAUGUGAAAUCCCGGGGCUCAACCCCGGAACUGCAUCCGAUACUGCCGUGCUAGAGGAUUGGAGAGGUAGCUGGAAUUCUUGGUGUAGCAGUGAAAUGCGUGGAGAUCAAGAGGAACACUCGUGGCGAAAGCGAGCUACUGGACAAUAUCUGACGCUGAGGCUCGAAGGCCAGGGUAGCGAAAGGGAUUAGAUACCCCCGUAGUCCCUGUCUCUUAUAC
rnacentral:rRNA from 1 species